rnacentral:rRNA from 1 species
UAUGAAGGUCAGGCUGAAGACCUUACCCGAUUAGCUGAGAGGUGGUGCAUGGCCGUCGUCAGUUCGUACUGUGAAGCAUCCUGUUAAGUCAGGCAACGAGCGAGACCCACGUCCACAGUUGCCAGCAUACCCUCCGGGGUGAUGGGUACACUGUGGAGACCGCCGCUGCUAAAGCGGAGGAAGGAGUGGGCAACGGUAGGUCAGUAUGCCCCGAAUCUCCCGAGCUACACGCGGGCUACAAUGGUUGGUACAAUGGGCAUCUACCCCGAAAGGGGAAGGAAAUCUCUUAAAGCCAAUCGUAGUUCGGAUUGAGGGCUGCAACUCGCCCUCAUGAAGCUGGAAUCCGUAGUAAUCGCGUUUCAACAGAACGCGGUGAAUACGUCCCUGCUCCUU